rnacentral:rRNA from 1 species
UACGUAGGGUGCAAGCGUUGUCCGGAAUUAUUGGGCGUAAAGAGCUCGUAGGCGGUUUGUCGCGUCUGCUGUGAAAACUGGAGGCUCAACCUCCAGCCUGCAGUGGGUACGGGCAAACUAGAGUGCGGUAGGGGAGAUUGGAAUUCCUGGUGUAGCGGUGGAAUGCGCAGAUAUCAGGAGGAACACCGGUGGCGAAGGCGGGUCUCUGGGCAGUAACUGACGCUGAGGAGCGAAAGCGUGGGGAGCAAACAGG